rnacentral:rRNA from 1 species
UACGUAGGGCGCAAGCGUUGUCCGGAAUUAUUGGGCGUAAAGAGCUCGUAGGCGGCUUGUUGCGUCGGUUGUGAAAGCCCGGGGCUUAACCCCGGGUCUGCAGUCGAUACGGGCAGGCUAGAGUGUGGUAGGGGAGAUCGGAAUUCCUGGUGUAGCGGUGAAAUGCGCAGAUAUCAGGAGGAACACCGAUGGCGAAGGCAGUUCUCUGGGCCGUAACUGACGCUGAGGAGCGAAAGCGUGGGGAGCGAACAGG